ensembl:lncRNA
CCUCUCCUUCCCUCCCUCUCUCCCUUUCUACUGUACUAUUGACUGUAUGUUUGUUUAUUCCAUGUGUAACUCUGUGUUGUUUGUGUCGCACUGCUUUGCUUUAUCUUGGCCAGGUCGCAGUUGUAAAUGAGAACUUGGUUCUCAACUGGCCUACCUGGUUAAAUAAAGGUGUUCUCAACUAGCCUACCUGGUUAAAUAAAGGUGUUCUCAACUAGCCUCCCUGGUUAAAUAAAGGUGUUCUCAACUAGCCUCCCUGGUUAAAUAAAGGUGUUCUCAACUGGCCUACCUGGUUAAAUAAAGGUGUUCUCAACUGGCCUCCCUGGUUAAAUAAAGGUGUUCUCAACUGGCCUCCCUGGUUAAAUAAAGGUGUUCUCAACUGGCCUACCUGGUUAAAUAAAGGUGUUCUCAACUGGCCUACCUGG